rnacentral:rRNA from 1 species
UACGUAGGGUGCAAGCGUUGUCCGGAAUUAUUGGGCGUAAAGAGCUCGUAGGCGGCUUGUCGCGUCGGCUGUGAAAACCUAGGGCUCAACCCUGGGCCUGCAGCCGAUACGGGCAAGCUAGAGUUCGGUAGGGGAGACUGGAAUUCCUGGUGUAGCGGUGAAAUGCGCAGAUAUCAGGAGGAACACCGGUGGCGAAGGCGGCCUUCUGGACAGUGACUGACGCUGAGACGCGAAAGCGUGGGGAGCAAACAGG